CGUCUGUGCCGUUCCACAAAUUGCAGAAGGCACACGGGCGGCAUCCGUAUUUUGCGAUCCGCAAUUUGCAGAUCGCAAAACACGGCAUGGUCGUGUGAAUGAGCCCAAAGGCUAAUGGUUCGAAGCUACAACGUACUGUGUUAUUGACCAUCAUAAAGUUGACUUUCAAGAGUUAUCACAGAUGAUGCCAGGGGAGAGAAGGGUCAGACAAAGUGGAUAUUUUUUCUAGAUCCUUUUGUUCUCCUCCCUCCCCAAUGAGUACACAUACCCUUUUGGCCCAACUGUGAAGGAGUCUGGAGAGAUGGCUGUUAUUUGGCCGACCGUUAUUAAAUAUUUACGGCUGCUCUUACUGACCUCUCCAAAAAUCUUAUCUUUUUGUGAUUUAUUGUGGUAUUUAUUUAAAGGGUAUGUCCACAAUUGCAACAAUUUUUUUUCUUUACUUCCAUGCAUGUUAAAUAAAAAUUUUAACGAUUUUGCAAAUGGUGUUGAUUUUAAAAUAAAAUAAAUCACAUGCUGAAUGAUGACUCCAUAGUUAGACUACAAACAAACUCUGUGUUGUCUGACCCUGAAGUCAUCUUCUUAGUUAUAUGUAGUGUACUAUAUGUAAUAUAUACAUAUGAUAAUAAGGAUGACUACAGGCUUCAGAUGACACAGGGAUUGUUUGUAGCCUGCAACCAUAAUCUCUUUAUAAUUCUUGUCUGUGACCAUAGAGACCCAUAGAAGCUGUAAGCACAAAAUGGUAGGAUAUUUUAUUUUUUUAAUCAAGUCGAUUUGCAAACUUUGUUAAUUUUCUGCUUAAGGUGCAUUGGAACAUUUCAGAAUUGGUUGUAGUUGUAUAUAGCCUUUAACUUUUUUCAGUCGAUUUUUAUAUUGACACUUCACUCAACAGAAAAUCCAUUUGUAUGCAAUAUAUUGUUCAAUGGUAUAAUAUGUGCUUGUUACUGUCAAUCGAUCAGUAUUACUCCACAAAAAUAAGAAUUAUGUUUUCCUGGAUAAUUUCCAAUUGUUGAUGGUUAUGCUAGACCUAACGUAAAGUCAUAUGCAUUUUGUUUGAUAAUUGCCUUUGCAUGUGGUUUACGGGAUGAAUGAGAAAAAUCACAUGCAACUGUGGUUUUCAUGUAAAUUGCAGCUGAUUUUGUGUUACCCUCAUAUUAAAGUUGUGUUUUUUAAAGGGGGUUCUCUGUCCACCAGCAUCCUGUCCUAGAAUGAGUGCAGGACUGGUUGCUGCCACUUGCAUAACUGUCUAGUGGGGUGAGGGGACUCACUGCACACUAUAGUGCCCUACAAUAGAUGGUAAUGAUGUGAUCCUGCCUAUGAUAUGCCAUUAUGGCUGAGCAGCCUGACGGGAAACCUCACCAAUAUGUAGUACAUACAAGUUCCAGAGUGUAUAGUGAGUAGCGAGGCUUUUCUUUCUAGGCAAAGUGGUAACAACCAAAUCUUACAUUCUAGGACAAGUUGCUGGUAGCUAUGUAAAAGUGUUCUUAAAUAACCCCUUUAAGACACAAAAACAAUAUUAUUUGACUGCUGAAAUGGUCCAUCCAUAUUUUUUCAUCCUUAGUUUUAUAACAGGGUUGUGUUUUAUGUUCUGUUUUUUUUUUUCUUUUCUUUUUAGAAUAUAAUUUAGCCUGUUUUUUGUUUGCUGAGAUUUUUAUGUUUUUUUCUAGUUUGGUCUAUACGUAUAUAUUCAAACUGUGAUUCCUAUUUCAUGUUUUCUUUUUAUUUUCUUUUAAUUGUAUUUUUUAGUUUUCUGUAUUUAUUUUUAAGGUUCUACUAUUCACAUGAAAAAAAA